CCAGACUCCUACGGGAGGCAGCAGUAGGGAAUCUUCCACAAUGGACGCAAGUCUGAUGGAGCAACGCCGCGUGAGUGAAGAAGGGUUUCGGCUCGUAAAGCUCUGUUGGUAGUGAAGAAAGAUAGAGGUAGUAACUGGCCUUUAUUUGACGGUAAUUACUUAGAAAGUCACGGCUAACUACGUGCCAGCAGCCGCGGUAAUACGUAGGUGGCAAGCGUUGUCCGGAUUUAUUGGGCGUAAAGCGAGUGCAGGCGGUUCAAUAAGUCUGAUGUGAAAGCCUUCGGCUCAACCGGAGAAUUGCAUCAGAAACUGUUGAACUUGAGUGCAGAAGAGGAGAGUGGAACUCCAUGUGUAGCGGUGGAAUGCGUAGAUAUAUGGAAGAACACCAGUGGCGAAGGCGGCUCUCUGGUCUGCAACUGACGCUGAGGCUCGAAAGCAUGGGUAGCGAACAGGAUUAGAUACCCUGGUAGUCCAUGCCGUAAACGAUGAGUGCUAAGUGUUGGGAGGUUUCCGCCUCUCAGUGCUGCAGCUAACGCAUUAAGCACUCCGCCUGGGGAGUACGACCGCAAGGUUGAAACUCAAAGGAAUUGACGGGGGCCCGCACAAGAAGGGCGAAU
rnacentral:rRNA from 1 species